rnacentral:sRNA from 1 species
GCUGGGCACAGUGACACAUGCCUGUAAUCCCAGCGGCUCAGGAGGCUGAGGCAGGAGGAUCAAGAGUUCACAGCCAGCCUCAGCACUGGUGAGGCGCUGAGCAACUCAGUGAGACCCUGUCUCUA